ACAUGGCUAGUUAAUAUGCUUUUAUAAAUUGCAAUUUUUAUUAAUUUCUAAACUAAACAUGUAGCAUCCAAUAUCAUAAACUAAGUUUAUACUGGUGUGUUUAUAUUAUUUUAGAAUUUUUUGUUUUAGACACAUGGCAUUUGCUAUCUCAUUGUAAUAAAACUGGUUGUAAAAUUAAAAAAUUUAUAUCGGAACUUCUAUUUCUUUUAACAUUCAUGCUUAUUUAAUCGAGUUACAACUAAGGUUAUAUAUGAGUUAUUUAUACUAUCUUAGAAUAUGCUGCUUUAGAGGCACGGCAUUUAGUGUCAUAUUGUAGGUUUAAAUUGGUUGUAGAAUUUAUAUUGUAACUUGCAUAUUUAUUUAGUUGAGUUUAAUCUAAGUUUAUAUUUGAUGUGUUUGUAUUAUUUUAGAAUUUAAUGUUUUCAACAUGUGACAUGUGGUAUCCCACUACACUUGGUAUAAGCUGUCAUACGAAUUUGCUGUUUUAGACACGUGGCUUGUGAUAUCCCACUAAUUAGCUAUUUUAAACAUGUGACAAGUGGUAUGACACUGUAUUGAUGUAUGUGAAAUGUAUAGAGUCUUUCAGUUAUCAGAUAAUGUCAAGGCAAUC
rnacentral:lncRNA from 1 species